AGAGUUUGAUCAUGGCUCAGAUUGAACGCUGGUGGCAUGCUUAACACAUGCAAGUCGAACGGUAACAGGUCUUCGGAUGCUGACGAGUGGCGGACGGGUGAGUAACGCGUAGGAAUCUGCCCAUCUGUGGGGGAUACCAGUUGGAAACGACUGUUAAUACCGCAUAAUAUCUGCGGAUUAAAGGUGGCCUUUGCGCUGCCGCAGAUGGAUGAGCCUGCGUUGGAUUAGCUAGUUGGUGGGGUAAGGGCCUACCAAGGCUACGAUCCAUAGCUGAUUUGAGAGGAUGAUCAGCCACAUUGGGACUGAGACACGGCCCAAACUCCUACGGGAGGCAGCAGUGGGGAAUAUUGGACAAUGGGGGAAACCCUGAUCCAGCAAUGCCAUGUGUGUGAAGAAGGCUCUAGGGUUGUAAAGCACUUUAGUUGGGGAGGAAAGCCUGUGAGUUAAUAGCUUGCAGGAAGGACGUUGCCCAAAGAAUAAGGACCGGCUAACUCCGUGCCAGCAGCCGCGGUAAUACGGGGGGUCCGAGCGUUAAUCGGAAUUACUGGGCGUAAAGGGUCUGUAGGUGGUUUGUUAAGUCAGAUGUGAAAGCCCAGGGCUCAACCUUGGAACUGCAUUUGAUACUGACAAACUAGAGUAUGGUAGAGGAAUAGGGAACUUCUGGUGUAGCGGUGAAAUGCGUAGAGAUCAGAAGGAACACCAAUGGCGAAGGCAACAUUCUGGACCAAUACUGACACUGAGGGACGAAAGCGUGGGGAUCAAACAGGAUUAGAUACCCUGGUAGUCCACGCUGUAAACGAUGAGUACUAGCUGUUGGAUUCGGUGUAAAGGAUCUAGUGGCGCAGCUAACGCGUUAAGUACUCCGCCUGGGGACUACGGCCGCAAGGCUAAAACUCAAAGGAAUUGACGGGGACCCGCACAAGCGGUGGAGCAUGUGGUUUAAUUCGAUGCAACGCGAAGAACCUUACCUGGUCUUGACAUCCUGCGAACUUUCUAGAGAUAGAUUGGUGCCUUCGGGAACGCAGUGACAGGUGCUGCACGGCUGUCGUCAGCUCGUGUUGUGAAAUGUUGGGUUAAGUCCCGCAACGAGCGCAACCCCUAUUGAUAGUUACCAUCAUUAAGUUGGGUACUCUAUUGAGACUGCCGCUGACAAGGCGGAGGAAGGUGGGGACGACGUCAAGUCAUCAUGGCCCUUACGACCAGGGCUACACACGUGCUACAAUGGGUAUUACAGAGGGCUGCGAAGGUGCGAGCUGGAGCGAAACUCAGAAAGGUACUCUUAGUCCGGAUUGCAGUCUGCAACUCGACUGCAUGAAGUCGGAAUCGCUAGUAAUCGCAGGUCAGAAUACUGCGGUGAAUACGUUCCCGGGUCUUGUACACACCGCCCGUCACACCAUGGGAGUGGGUUGCUCCAGAAGUAGAUAGCUUAACGAAUGGGCGUUUACCACGGAGUGAUUCAUAACUGGGGUGAAGUCGUAACAAGGUAGCCGUAGGGGAACCUGCGGCUGGAUCACCUCCUU
rnacentral:rRNA from 1 species